AGAGAAUUGCUUGAAACUGGAAGGUAGAGUUUGCAGUGAGCUGAGAUUGUAUCACUGCACUCCAGCCUGGGUGACAGAA
rnacentral:snRNA from 1 species